ACAUUCUUAUCCUCUAUGCAGGCAAGCAAUGAUUUUGUGGGAGACUGCGUUAAGCUUGCAACUGAAUCUUCAGCAAGGUUUCUGCCAGGAGCACAGAACUCCUUAGCAGAUGUGUUAAGCAGGCAAAUCAUGGAUCCCCACGGUGGAAACUG